rnacentral:rRNA from 2 species
UUACCAACCCGAUGCAAACUGCGAAUACCGGAGAAUGUUAUCACGGGAGACACACGGCGGGUGCUAACGUCCGUCGUGAAGAGGGAAACAACCCAGACCGCCAGCUAAGGUCCCAAAGUCAUGGUUAAGUGGGAAACGAUGUGGGAAGGCCCAGACAGCCAGGAUGUUGGCUUAGAAGCAGCCAUCAUUUAAAGAAAGCGUAAUAGCUCACUGGUCGAGUCGGCCUGCGCGGAAGAUGUAACGGGGCUAAACCAUG